CUGGCGGCGUGCCUAAUACAUGCAAGUCGAGCGGAAUGAUGAAGAAGCUUGCUUUCUUCUGAUUUUAGCGGCGGACGGGUGAGUAACACGUGGGCAACCUACCUUGUAGAUUGGGAUAACUCCGGGAAACCGGGGCUAAUACCGAAUAAUCCAUUUUGCUUCAUGGCGAGAUGUUGAAAGACGGUUUCGGCUGUCACUACAAGAUGGGCCCGCGGCGCAUUAGCUAGUUGGUAGGGUAAUGGCCUACCAAGGCGACGAUGCGUAGCCGACCUGAGAGGGUGAUCGGCCACACUGGGACUGAGACACGGCCCAGACUCCUACGGGAGGCAGCAGUAGGGAAUCUUCCACAAUGGACGAAAGUCUGAUGGAGCAGCGCCGCGUGAGUGAAGAAGGUUUUCGGAUCGUAAAACUCUGUUGUAAGGGAAGAACACGUACGAGAGUAACUGCUCGUACCUUGACGGUACCUUAUUAGAAAGCCACGGCUAACUACGUG
rnacentral:rRNA from 1 species